rnacentral:rRNA from 1 species
UCCAGACUCCUACGGGAGGCAGCAGUCGGGAAUAUUGCACAAUGGAGGAAACUCUGAUGCAGUGACACCGCGUAUAGGAAGAAGGUUUUCGGAUUGUAAACUAUUUUAGACAGGGAAGAAAAAAGACAGUACCUGUAGAAUAAGCCACGGCUAACUACGUGCCAGCAGCCGCGGUAAUACGUAGGUGGCAAGCGUUGUCCGGAUUUACUGGGUGUAAAGGGCGUGUAGCCGGGCUGACAAGUCAGAUGUGAAAUCCGGGGGCUCAACCCCCGAACUGCAUUUGAAACUGUUGGUCUUGAGUAUCGGAGAGGCAGGCGGAAUUCCUAGUGUAGCGGUGAAAUGCGUAGAUAUUAGGAGGAACACCAGUGGCGAAGGCGGCCUGCUGGACGACAACUGACGGUGAGGCGCGAAAGCGUGGGGAGCAAACAGGAUUAGAUACCCGCGUA